UACGUAGGGCGCGAGCGUUAAUCGGAAUUACUGGGCGUAAAGCGUGCGCAGGCGGUCUGUUAAGACCGAUGUGAAAUCCCCGGGCUUAACCUGGGAACUGCAUUGGUGACUGGCAGGCUUUGAGUGUGGCAGAGGGAGGUAGAAUUCCACGUGUAGCAGUGAAAUGCGUAGAGAUGUGGAGGAAUACCGAUGGCGAAGGCAGCCUCCUGGGCUAACACUGACGCUCAUGCACGAAAGCGUGGGGAGCAAACAGG
rnacentral:rRNA from 1 species